AUUGAACGCUGGCGGCAUGCUUUACACAUGCAAGUCGAACGGUAACAGGUUAAGCUGACGAGUGGCGAACGGGUGAGUUAUGCAUCGGAACGUGCCCGAUCGUGGGGGAUAACGCAGCGAAAGCUGCGCUAAUACCGCAUACGAUCUGAGGAUGAAAACGGGGGACCGUAAGGCCUCGCGCGAUCGGAGCGGCCGAUGUCAGAGUAGGUAGUUGGGGGGGUAAAGGCCCACCAAGCCGACGAUCUGUAGCUGGUCUGAGAGGACGACCAGCCACACUGGGACUGAGACACGGCCCAGACUCCUACGGGAGGCAGCAGUGGGGAAUUUUGGACAAUGGGCGAAAGCCUGAUCCAGCAAUGCCGCGUGCAGGAAGAAGGCCUUCGGGUUGUAAACUGCUUUUGUACGGAGCGAAAAGGUCCUUUCUAAUACAGGGGGCUCAUGACGGUACCGUAAGAAUAAGCACCGGCUAACUACGUGCCAGCCGCCGCCAUAA
rnacentral:rRNA from 1 species